rnacentral:rRNA from 1 species
AUUGAACGCUGGCGGCAUGCUUUACACAUGCAAGUCGAACGGUAACAGGCCGCAAGGUGCUGACGAGUGGCGAACGGGUGAGUAAUGCAUCGGAACGCGCCCAGCCGUGGGGGAUAACGCAGCGAAAGCUGCGCUAAUACCGCAUACGAGCUAUGGAUGAAAGCGGGGGACCGUAAGGCCUCGCGCGAUUGGAGCGGCCGAUGUCAGAUUAGGUAGUUGGUGGGGUAAAGGCCCACCAAGCCAACGAUCUGUAGCUGGUCUGCGAGGACGACCAGCCACACUGGGACUGAGACACGGCCCAGACUCCUACGGGAGGCUGCAGUGGGGAAUUUUGGACAAUGGGCGCAAGCCUGAUCCAGCAAUGCCGCGUGCAGGAAGAAGGCCUUCGGGUUGUAAACUGCUUUUGUACGGAACGAAACGGUCUGGGUUAAUACCCCGGGCUAAUGACGGUACCGUAAGAAUAAGCACCGGCUAACUACGUGCCAGCCGCCGCGGUAA